GUAAAAUAACUAAACUGAACUGAUAGUACUUUCAAUACAGUAACAUAAAAAAUGUUAACAGACGAAACUGUCAAGUGUUGAUUAUUAUUAUGAUUGAGUGUAUAUGAAUGAUCAGUUAACAGUUAGCAUUUUUGAUUGAAGAGGUCUCAUUAUGCUGAACUUCCAUGAUGAGAUAUGAUUGUUGACAAUUUCCGGUUAAUCUAAGAUGAUGAGAAAUGGCCCUUCCAUCAAAUGAACAACAAAAAGAAAAUCCAGAUCCAGAAAGUGGACAUUACAUAACUGUCAUCCCUGUUGAUUAUCAAAGAAAUCGGGGCUUUCCUCAACCUCCUGAUCAAUACAGUGAUUUCAAAACAAUAGAAGGAGACUUCAACAGACCGGAUGUUGUAAAAGCUGGAUCAGCCAGUGAGAAUAACGAUAAUCUUCCUUCAGAAGUAUACAAGCCAUUAACAGAUGCCAGUGGCAAGUUCAGUAAAGAAUAUGAGGAUAACGCAAUCAAUGCUCAGUGGGAGAAAGAGAAAAACCAGCAAGAGUCUCACUCUGAACCUCCAGUACAGUCGCUCAAGGUGUGUAUCUACCUGAUGUCUGAUGUGGCCCUACACAUGGAACUGGAAGAUGGAGUGAACACAAGUGUCAAGGAGUUGGUGCAGGCCAUUGUCACGGAGGAACAGCUGGGUCUGCCCCGCUCGGCCGCCAACAUCUUCACACUCUGGAUGUGCUCUGGACUACUUGAACUUCGCUUGAAGCCACACCACCAACCUUUCACUGUGAGAGCGAAGUGGCCAGAUUUGCUGGCCAAGUACGCUCAUGCCACUGAGUCACGACAAGGUAGAGAUGAGCCGGUCUUAUCUUUCCAGAGAAAUGUGUUCGUGCCAAGAUUUGUGGACGAGAGGGUCAAAGAAGCAAGAGUGCUAGAUCUGCUUUAUUGCGAGGCAAGGUACAACAUCCUGGAGGGUAGAUAUCCUUGUGAGGUUGGACACUUCAUCAUGUUGGGCGGUAUCCAAGCCAGGCUGGAACUGGGACCUUACAACCCCCACUUACAUACCAUACACUUCUUCAGAGAGCAGCACAGCAGGUUUCUGCCUGUCCACAUGCGGCGGGGAGCUUGGCGCUCCUGGCUAGGACUCAGUGGCAAGAACUCGCCUGAAGUGCGCCUUCUCGAGCACUACAAGCGCAUUCCUCCUGCUACCCCUGAUCGGAAACUACAACGCAAGUACCUCGAAUUCUGCUGGGCCUUGCCUUACUAUGGGUGUGCAUUUUUCCAAGGACAAGUAGAACAGCCAGUUCGAGGUCUGACCUCUCUCAUCACCCACCAGGAUAUCCCGGUACUAGUUGGUAUCAACCCUCAAGGCGUCUAUGUCAUUGACAACAUCCAAUGUACAUUGCUGUUGGGUCUCAAGUUUGAAGAAAUGUCUUGGGACUUCGCCAAACCUUCACAGGAAGAUAAUCCAGACUGCUUGCCAUGUAUAUUUAUUCAGUUCAGAGUCGUUGAAAAUGGAAUGAGAGUUUCCAAGAUUUUACAAGUGUUUUCAAAACAGGCUGUAAUGAUGGAUGCUCUGAUCUCGGGUUUUGUGGAGGACAUCAAGAAGAAGACGGCAGCAGCCAAACCAGCCGGAGACGAAACGGACAGGCCUCCAGUGUAUGAUACUGCCACAGACAGUGAUGAUACACAGAUGCCUCUAACCAUGGUGACUGGAGCUCGCAGAGAUGUGCCUCAGACAUGCCUGGGCAACAAACUCAGCAAGUUAACUUUGGCCACAUUCGAUGAUGAAGAAACGAGGUUGUAGCUGGCUAUGGCAUGACUCUCACUUUGCACCGUGUUGCUAGUAGUAUUCACAGUUGUUUUAAGAUGUUGAUGACCAGCUAAGGACACCUUUACUUCUGGCUUCUAGAUAUCUUGCUAAGCAGUUCAUAUAAUUUAGAGAAGACUUGUGUAAGGUUGUGUCUGGGAAGUUGUAGACUACUGUGUUCAUGCAUGGUUCUGUAUUGGGAAUUUUAAUUUCUGCCAGUCGAUGCAUAGGUCAAAUGGGAUCAUGGGCAUUCAGCUACUGAAGACAUCAAGUGAUUCUAAUUGUGGCAGCUUCUCAAAGCUCUGGGCAGCAUAUUGAAACCAAUGAGACUUGAUGGUUUUGUAAAUGUUUCCAUCAGAUGUUACAAAAAACUCAGUAAUACAAACACAUUAAGCUACUAGAAAUGUAUAGUAAGAAUGUUAGCACAGUAAGUUAUAAUCAAACAAUUGAUUCAGUUAUAAUAUUCAUUUAAAUAUCACAUCCAUCUAGUCUUAAUUUAGUUACAAGUAUUAUAGGUUUUUUAUUAAGUGAAUUGGUAAUUUACAACGUUUAUGUGAUAAGUUAGAUCUGUUUUCUUUAUUAUUUAUUUUUAAAAUAACUUGCAAAACUCAUUUCCAAUUAAGUGUAUUAUGGCCAUAAACUCAAAUAGUGAAAUAUGUAGAAUUUAGUUAAGUACCAAUGAACUAAAUAUAAAUAAUUAACUCUUAUAUGAGUACUGAUAUAAACAAGUAUGUAAUUAUGUCUUCAUUAUAAAGCAUCCCGAUACGGAUUCUAAAAUUUAGAAUCCGUAUCGGAAUGCUUUAAUGCAUAUAUUAAUUUUGUAUAUGUGAUAAUUUAACAUGUUAUGUUUGUGAUAUUUAUAUAUAUUUAUUUAUUUAUUUAUAUUUUUCAAUAUAUUGAAAACACUUCAUUUGUACCUUUUAUAAUUAUUGUGAUUAAGAAGUGUAAUUGUCAAGUUGCUGCCAUUAUUCAAUUAUAGGCAUACUAAGAUAGUCUGUAUUUACUUUUGAUUAUUAUGUAAAUAAUCUUCCUGAGUGCAACUAAUAUUUUAAAUCUUGCUCUUUAUAUUUAAUUAUUGUUAUAUAAUCAACCAAUUUUCUUAAACGUUAGAUUCAAAAGAUUUUUCUUCUAUUUUUGUCUGCAUAUCUAUUAUAUGACAAGCUCCAGAUCUUUUCAGUUUAUUACGCAUAUGUACAAUCCAUUUUACAAUAUGGUAUUGUCACAUUGGGAGGGGCUUACAAAACGAUAUUGGAACUAUUAAAUGUUAUACAAAAAGAAAUAAUCAAAGCAGUGUUUAAUAAACAAAGGCAUUAUUCACCUACUUUGUUAUUUAGGGAGACUAAUAUUUUUUUAAAUUAAGCAGUUACUUAUUAGGACUGUACUGGUUUACGUCUUCUUUCAUAAAGAUGUCGUCCUUAUCUCCAUCGCUCACAAUUACCCGACCAUGAACGCUGUGAGUGUGGGCUUGCAGUUUACUGUCACGUAAACUUACCAAUGUUUACUGUCACGUAAACUUACCAAUGUUUACUGUCACGUAAACUUACCCAUGUUUACUGUCACGUAAACUUACCAAUGUUUACUGUCGCCAACAUGCUGUACAGACACGCCCUCUGUGAUAAGAGACCUGCAGGACGAGCCUGUUAAUGGUUUUCAAGCGGCUGGUCACUGCCUGAAUUUGAAUGAUCUGUCCGGACAAUGCUGAAUUUCUCCUCACCCCCACUAAACAUUACCGCUAUUAUAGUUAACUACUUCUUAUUAUAACAAACAUAUGCAAUAUCGUAUUCCCAAAACUUGUAAUUUCUUUUUGGAUUUUUUAUCAUUUUUUGGCAUAUUUUGUUUUAGGGUUUUGGCACUUAACGCUUUCCAGUUUGCUUCCUGAUGGUCAUAAAUCCAAACAUUUAUACAUUCUGACUCAUUCGCAUCACUUAUGUGACUUCUAAUGUACACAAUGAACUAAAAUAAGGCAAUACAGAUAAUGUAUGCCACAUUUAGUGCAAUUCUGAUGGUAUGGACAAAUCCAUAUGCCAAGCAUUAGGGUUUAAUUCUUAGUCGUUACAGGUAAAAUCAAUGAAUAGUCAACCGUUUCAAAUUCAAGUGAGGACAUACUUGGUUAGAAGGGCUUUUUACAAACUGCAAGAGACUUUUGAGUGGAUAUGUAAGGUUAGCCGCACAAAAAUUAAUCAUUUUAUACAUUUUAAACUUAGUUUUUUACUUUUCUAUGAAUUUUAUUUUAUUUUAAGUAUUUAUUUUGUGAUUUUAAGCUUACUUUAGGAUUUUGAUGGACUUGUUCGCAUUCAGAAUAAAUUUUACAUAUUAAUAAAUGGCUUAUAUAAAAUCUUCCCAAAAAUCAAAAUGCUGGAUUAUGAAUUAACUAAGAAAAUAUUUAAAAAAUUAUUGACCAUUUAUAAGUUAUCUAAAAAAUAUCAGUUUUGAAUACCAUUUUGAAUACAGAUUUUUUUGUGAAAUGUAAAAUAUUGUACUGGUGUAAAUUAUUGUGUUGGAUGUAAUUUCAGAUAGAAAAAUCCCAUGAAACAAACAAAUUUAAAAAAAUUAGAUUGACAUCUUAAAAAUAUAGAAUUAUCAUAAAGUAAUAACACGAUAGUAUUAGUAUAAUUUGCUAACAAAUUUUCAAGCAUUGACGUUUGUAGUCCAUUUUUCAAAUAAAGUAGAAGCGAGGAUAACUGAGUUCUGAUUAUUCCAGAUACUGAGUUAAACAUGUUUAAAAAAUCAAGAACUUUUUAGGAUAUGUUUAGAAAAUUACAUUGAGGAUUCCAGGUUUGAUUUUGAUAUGUGGGGAGCAAGAGGGGGCUACACUGCAGUGCUGUGUUGUGCCAUUUGCAUUGUUCUACUGGCCAUCUUUAGUUCAAGCAGUAACUUUACGAGGUUAGAAUGAGCCUAUUGGUUACAACUGAGUAGUAAGUCAAGCUUGCUCAUUCCCAUGAAAAGAAUUUGAAAAGUUGUUUAGUGACAACCAACGAGUAUAUAGCCAAUAUGAACCAACAAUAACAUGAAGAAGAUGAUACAGACGAAAUCCUUUCUAAAAUUUCUCAUUCUGGUAAGUUGAAAAUAUUGGAAGCAGUUAUAGGUUACAUUGAACAGCUAGAACAUAGCAGUGCUCAUGACAAAAUGUUUCUUCAGCAUUGGCUCAACAUUGAGGCAAAGAAAGCAAGCUUAUGAAAAGAAUCAGUCAAGGUCCUUUUCUUUGCAAGUAAACCCAUUUUUAUUAAUCAUUGUUAUAUUUUUCUGUAAAUAAAAUUAUUUUAUUACAAUUUUCCCAUUAGCCAAUGUUUUGCCGUAUCUGAGGUAAUCCCAAUUGCCAUUUAGCUCAGUUAACCGGACUUCUAAUGUAUUAAUAUAAAAAUCCAAAAACUAAAUUAAAAUUUUAUUUUAUACUAUUUUCAGCCUUAUUUUUCCUUUACAUCAUCAACUCUUCAGCUGAUAAACUGAACGGAGAAUUAUCAUUGUUGCAACAACAUUGAAUAAGAGUAGAAUGGAUUCAUGUAUAGUUUGGUUUAUUAUCUCAAUUAAUCAAGCUAAUUUUUUUUGUUCGUAAAAAUGUGUCAUUGUUACGAAUUCUAGUUUUAGAAACUUUAUUUAUCAUUCAUUAUGCUUCGUUAUCUAUUUGUGUAUUAUAUAACUUUCUAUGUUUUGUUUGUUAGUUGUUUUUAUAUUAAAGAAGGAUUUGAAAACA